CUGUCUGAAGUGGUCUGUUAACCUGAGUGGAGGGUAAAGGCCUGUCUGAAGUGGUCUGUUAACCUGAGUGGAGGGUAAAGGCCUGUCUGAAGGAGACACUUUGCUGGCCUGGUUGCAUCCCAAAUGGCACCCUAUUCCCUAUAUACUGCACUACUUUAGGCCAGAGCCCUUUGGGCCAUUUGACACAGCCUGCUGUUACUGCCCCAGAUGUGUGUGUGUGUGUGUGUGUGUGCUGUCACUACCCCAGGUGUGUGUGUGCUGUCACUACCCCAGAUGUGCUGUCACUACCACAGAUGUGUGUGUGUGUGUGUGUGUGUGUGUGCUGUCACUACCCCAGUUCUGGCCCUGAGGCUCUGAGUCAUCUUUCUGCUAGAGGUCACCCUGGGUUGUUCACUUUUAAGGCGAAUUUCCUGCAAUUCAACACAUUUUGCCAUGGCUUAUGCUAUCUGAGUGCCGUGUCUUGACAUUUUGGGAAUGUCAGAUUCUCCCUGACUGUCUAGUUUUAUUUUGGUGAUUGUUAGUUCUCAAAGAUGAUCUUAUUAAAAUAUAUUGCCAUAUUAUCUUUUCUACAUAUUUUAUAUCUGGUUAUAGUC
rnacentral:lncRNA from 1 species